AUAUAUAUAUAUAUAUAUAUAUGGUGGUCUUACAACAGGGUUUCUCAACCGUUUUUUACCUAUAGACCCCUUUGAUUGCUAUUCUACUCUAUUGGACCAUCCUAGACAUUUGAUGUUUA